GAACGCCGUGUGCAGUGAAAGUUGCAUGCACGGUGUGGUGCAGGGGGUGCGACAAGAAGCAACUUCUUUCGCAAGUGUCAGUACAGGUAAAACUGUUACCCUAGU
rnacentral:ncRNA from 1 species